CAGGAUGGCCCCUCAGUGCCUUCCCUCCCAGCACUGCGCUGCUGCGCAACGGGGCUGCAACCGGGAGCAGCGAAGGCAGCGGUGCCUCCAACCGAACUCGCAUCAUCCCCUACACAGACCUCAAUGACGGAGUAAGAAGAGCUGCUGCAAGUAGCUGUCAGCCCCAAAUACAAAACGCUGCUUCAAAGGACCACGUGAGAAUCCAGAGCUUACAGACCAAGCCAGGCAGCCGCUCGCCACGUUGCAGCUCGCUGGAACAGCCAGUGAUGAACCCGAAUUACACAAGCUGGGCGGCCCCAGCAAUGCAGACACCAAGCACACUGCAGACCCCGACCACAGCUGGCAACAGAUGCGGGGCAGCGGACACCUCCACCCAUGUAUUUGUUGUUCUUUCAAACAGAUGUUGUGUUGUGGUGCAGAGAGAAGGAAGCUGCGUGUCUUUCUGCUCAGCAGGCAGGAAUGGUGGCAAUGCCCCUCCUGUCCCCGCCACAUCUCAUGCCCUGUGCAGGACACCCGUCAGGAUACAGCUUGGAGCAAGAGCCUGACAAAGAGUGAAGAAGGGAUGGCGGGGAUUUCUGGAUCCCAUUCCCCCGGAUCUAACAGGGUUUGGUGCUACAAUUCCUUAAGCAGCUUUGGAAAUCUUGACAACAGCAAACGGAAACCAACAGUGCCGGAUGGACCUCCCUCUGCCGCCACAAUGCCACUGUGCAUUGCCGUAUCAAAGUCACUCAACGCCUUGUGAUGCACCAAACAAUAGCAGAGGGGUGCACGAGCACACACUGCAGCUGCUGGCUGGGCACGAGCUCGCUGCGCUCAGAACCAUACACGACGACCCUAACAGCCAGCAGCAGCGCUCACCCAAAUCAACCCCGUGAUUUACGGAGCUGCCCUCCCCUUCCUCCUGCUCCAGAUGUGCUGCCAGCUGCGGUGACACCGCUGCCGAGACUGAGCUUAAUAAAUCUGCCCGCAACGACGCGGCUGUGGCAGCCAGCGAGCAUCCCGCAGCCCUCCUCGCAGCUCCGCACACAACAAAGCAGGUCCUGCC
ensembl:lncRNA